UACAGAGGGGGCAAGCGUUAUUCGGAAUUAUUGGGCGUAAAGGGCGCGUAGGCGGCUUUGCAAGUGACGGGUGAAAGCCUUCGGCUUAACCGAGGAACUGCCUGUCAGACUGUGAGGCUUGAGACCAGGAGAGGUGAGUGGAAUUCCCAGUGUAGCGGUGAAAUGCGCAGAUAUCAGGAAGAACACCCGUGGCGAAGGCGGCUCUCUGGGACGUGACUGACGCUGAGACGCGAAAGCGUGGGGAGCAAACAGG
rnacentral:rRNA from 1 species